rnacentral:rRNA from 2 species
CUGAUUUAUAUUAAAGGGCUGCAGUAUUUUGACUGUACAAAGGUAGCAUAAUCAAUAGUCUUUUAAUUGAUGACUUGUAUGAAGGAUUGAAUGAGAUAUAAACUGUUUCUAAUUUAUGAAAAGAAUUUAAUUUUUUAAUCAAAAAGUUAAAAUAAAUUUAAAAGACAAGAAGACCCUAUAGAGUUUUAUAUUUAAGUUUAUUAAAAUUAUUUAUUAGUUUAAUAAUUGAAAUUAAUUUAUUUAUUUUAUUGGGGUGAUUGAAAAAUAUGUAUAACUUUUUUUAUAAUAUAUUCAUGUAUAAAUGAAUAAUUGAUCCAAAAUUUUUGAUUAAAAGAAAAAAUUACCUUAGGGAUAACAGCGUAAUUUUUUCUUUUAGUUCGUAUAAAAGAAAGAGUUUGCGACCUCGAUGUUGGAUUAAGAUAUAAUUUAUAUGCAAAAGUAUAAUAUUUUGAUC